rnacentral:rRNA from 1 species
CAGGCUUAACACAUGCAAGUCGAGGGGCAGCAUUUCAGUUUGCUUGCAAACUGGAGAUGGCGACCGGCGCACGGGUGAGUAACACGUAUCCAACCUGCCGAUAACUCGGGGAUAGCCUUUCGAAAGAAAGAUUAAUACCCGAUGGUAUAAUCAGACCGCAUGGUCUUGUUAUUAAAGAAUUUCGGUUAUCGAUGGGGAUGCGUUCCAUUAGGCAGUUGGUGAGGUAACGGCUCACCAAACCUUCGAUGGAUAGGGGUUCUGAGAGGAAGGUCCCCCACAUUGGAACUGAGACACGGUCCAAACUCCUACGGGAGGCAGCAGUGAGGAAUAUUGGUCAAUGGGCGCAGGCCUGAACCAGCCAAGUAGCGUGAAGGAUGACUGCCCUAUGGGUUGUAAACUUCUUUUAUAUGGGAAUAAAGUUUUCCACGUGUGGAAUUUUGUAUGUACCAUAUGAAUAAGGAUCGGCUAACUCCGUGCCAGCAGCCGCGGUAAUACGGAGGAUCCGAGCGUUAUCCGGAUUUAUUGGGUUUAAAGGGAGCGUAGGUGGACAGUUAAGUCAGUUGUGAAAGUUUGCGGCUCAACCGUAAAAUUGCAGUUGAUACUGGCUGUCUUGAGUACAGUAGAGGUGGGCGGAAUUCGUGGUGUAGCGGUGAAAUGCUUAGAUAUCACGAAGAACUCCGAUUGCGAAGGCAGCUCACUGGACUGCAACUGACACUGAUGCUCGAAAGUGUGGGUAUCAAACAGGAUUAGAUACCCUGGUAGUCCACACAGUAAACGAUGAAUACUCGCUGUUUGCGAUAUACAGUAAGCGGCCAAGCGAAAGCAUUAAGUAUUCCACCUGGGGAGUACGCCGGCAACGGUGAAACUCAAAGGAAUUGACGGGGGCCCGCACAAGCGGAGGAACAUGUGGUUUAAUUCGAUGAUACGCGAGGAACCUUACCCGGGCUUAAAUUGCAUUUGAAUAUAUUGGAAACAGUAUAGCCGUAAGGCAAAUGUGAAGGUGCUGCAUGGUUGUCGUCAGCUCGUGCCGUGAGGUGUCGGCUUAAGUGCCAUAACGAGCGCAACCCUUAUCUUUAGUUACUAACAGGUCAUGCUGAGGACUCUAGAGAGACUGCCGUCGUAAGAUGUGAGGAAGGUGGGGAUGACGUCAAAUCAGCACGGCCCUUACGUCCGGGGCUACACACGUGUUACAAUGGGGGGUACAGAAGGCAGCUACCUGGUGACAGGAUGCUAAUCCCAAAAGCCUCUCUCAGUUCGGAUCGAAGUCUGCAACCCGACUUCGUGAAGCUGGAUUCGCUAGUAAUCGCGCAUCAGCCAUGGCGCGGUGAAUACGUUCCCGGGCCUUGUACACACCGCCCGUCAAGCCAUGAAAGCCGGGGGUACCUGAAGUACGUAACCGCAAGGAGCGUCCUAGGGUAAAACUGGUAAUUGGGGCUAA